GUCGACGGCCGCAGUUCAGGGCUUGUGCUUCCCCACCAUCUCUUCAGCCAUCAAGCUGAGGAGAGCCACCGUCCCUAUCGCCGCCUCCCUCACUCCAUCCAGCUCCUCUCCCCUUUCAUAUUCCGUCCCUCGCCUCAUAAGGAACUCACCAGUUUUCGCAGCUCCGGCUACGAUCGCACCUGCCGUUGAAAUGGAAUCGGUGGAGCGAAUCAAAACAGGGUUUGAGCAGUUCAAGAAGGAGAUCUAUGAGAAGAAGCCCGAGUUGUUCGGCCCACUGGCGGAGGGUCAAAGCCCAAAGUUCUUGGUGUUUGCCUGUGCGGACUCAAGGGUGUGUCCAUCUGUGAUACUCAGUUUCCAGCCGGGAGAGGCCUUCACGAUCCGCAACAUUGCCAACACAGUCCCUGCCUAUGACAAGACCAGGUACUCAGGAAUGGGAGCAGCCAUUGAAUAUCCCAUCGUUCAUCUCAAGGUGCCAAACAUUGUUGUGAUCGGCCACAGCCGUUGCGGUGGAAUCAAGGCUCUGAUGUCCAUCAAGGGCGAUGAGGGUCUGGGCACUGAGUUCAUCGAGGAUUGGGUGAAGAUCGGUUGGCCGGCAAGAGAGAAGGUCCUGAAGGAGCAUCCUGACUUAGAUUUUGCAGAGCAAUGCACCAUAUGUGAAAAGGAAGCUGUAAAUACUUCCAUCGAAAACUUGAAGACAUAUCCAUAUGUCAAAGAGGGGCUGGAGAACAAGACUGUGAAUGUGUUUGGCGCAUACUAUGAUUUCGUCAAGGGAAGUUUCGACAUAUGGGAGUAAACUCAGUUUGUGAUUCGUUUUAUCUGAGUUCUUAUAUCAGUGCAUUGUAAAUGCUCAUGCUUUAUAGUCUGAGUUCUUAUAUCAGUGCAUUGUAAAUGCUCAUGCUUUAUAG
rnacentral:misc_RNA from 1 species